AGGGGCAGGUUGCUAACUGGAUGCCACUGGAAUUGGAAUCCAUUUGGGCACGGUGCUGCAAGAGUCCGACAGCAGGAAUCCUGUCCCCAUGUGAGUUGCCCACAUUGCUGGCACUGGAGUUGCCUUGGUGGACACUGGGCCUUUGAUAUGGCAGCUCCAAGUUGUUUCCCAACAACUCUCCUCCUGGCAUCGGACUGACUGAGUCAAAGGCUCUAAUAAGCUAAGCUUUUCUUCAACAGUACUUUCAACUUAAUAUACAAUAGAAAAUGGAAUUAAAGCUCAACCAAAAACUUCACAGUGUUCUAUGAAUCCUCACAGUGGCGUGCCACUUGGUGUCAAAUCAUUCAACUUAUUUUCUGAAAGGUGUGACGUCAUUGCCAGGGUCUGUGAUGACUGGCCUUCAGUGGCCUCUCGAUGCAGCACAUUGCCUCACACACCAAGAAGCCCCAGUUGCCCUUCAGGCCUGAUUCAAUGGUGUAUAAUGGUAUCUAACUCUGGCCUGUUGCCCUCUGGACUCAGAACUUAAGUUGUGGCCAAAAUCUUAGCUCUGAAGAUGGAGACGGGGAUCAGGUACCACACGGUCCCGAGUGCAGGAGCCAGUCUGAAUGUGUCCUGUCACUUGAUAGCAGACAGACACUCCUCAUGAGCUACUCAGGACUCCAGGCGCCAGGAAGGUGUAUGUGCAUCUUGAAGGCAAGCUCUUGAAGCUAUGACAGUAACACAGUUUGAGAACAACAUAAAAUGGAAACCAGCAUGUUCAGCACCCGCCCUUCAAAUGCUCAAUGACAAUCAUGUAUAUUUGCCUGGGAACAGAGUUGCCAAAAGAGCACCUGUCAUAGAGUCGAGCAGAACUGGCCUCAGCUUCAGCCCUGAAGGCUCUUGAGUUGUCUUCCCAGGGUGCUCCAUCCACCUCAGCAAAGCAUACUUGCUGGGAAGCUACCUGAGAAGAACUCGGAGAGUUUGCAAGAAGAAAGACAGCUUGCAGUUAAAUAUAUUUGGAGUUG